UACCCAUCAUCCAUCUGCAUUCAUCCAGUGAUUCUCCUCUGUAUCUAGUCUGUGACAUACACCCUCACACAAGAUCAACAUGAGAGGACCUCUUGUUUCUUCAACCGCUGUGAUUUGUUUCAUAGGUGUGGUGCUUUCUAGUAAGGUUGAUCAAACUCCUUCUGCAAUAUUCUGGAGUCCUGAAAGAACGUCUGAAAUCACCUGUCGCCAUCAAAUAACUAACUACGACACUAUACUGUGGUACCAGCGUUCACAGACGGACACUGAGCUGAAACUCAUCGGUUAUAUGAGUUAUGAGCGUGGAACUAUGGAGAAGCCAUUUGAGAAGCACUUUAAAGUGAGUGGUCAUGGUGAAGCAAACUCCACACUUCAUCUUAUCAACCUGAGAAAACCUGAAGAUAGUGCUAUGUACUACUGUGCUGCAUAUUACCACAGUGCUGUUUCCUCCCUUUCCAUUAAACAAAAACCCACCUUUAAUAAUCUCAUAACAGAUAGCAGUUUUGCACAGCUGUCACGUGUUUUGGUACAUGGUAUAUUGUCUUCGCUUCAUGUGCAGUUUAUCUAUUGA